UCAUGGCGGGUUCUGGUGGCCGAGAGGAACGCGGUGAGCGAGCUGCCCCGCCUUGGGCGGCCUCGGGGACCGACCUGCGCCGGGACUGCCGCCGUGCUGAGGGUGCUCGGUUUGGCCGCCGAGGGUCCAAGUUUGUCUUAAGUUCAGCGUGGUUUCGUGCGAGUGCCGCCUUCAGGAGAUUCUGCCCUUUACAGGCGAUCGGUUUCGCAGAAAGGCUGGCGCCGAAAAGUGUCAAACUUCUUGACCACACUGAAGAGCAAUGGAAGUGACCGACAAAUCAUGGCACUCUUAAAAAACGUUUUGCCUUUUCUUCUCAUAACCCAGCCUCACUAAGCAGUCGCUUGUGUUGGCUUAUCAACAGUGUUUUGAUGUGGAUUAGCAAAACCUUAAGGAAUGUCAGACCACAGCCUUAACGUAACUUUGUUGUGUGAAAGGCUGUGUCCAGUUUCCCUGGGAUUCCCCGUGUGGGCGCUGUUUGUACGUUCUUCUGUCAGUGGCGUCGAGAGCUGGGAAUGCCGUGCUCCUCACGGUAACAGCAGGAUAGUGGGUCUGCUCCCACAGCUCAUG